AUGAAACAGUCGCCCCCUCCCCCUACUGGCCAGCCCCUCCCCCGGGCUCGUGCAGCCGUUAGGACCCUUCCUUCCCUCUCUCGGCCACCGCCUGCCACUGCGUGUGCCCGUCUCCGGUCGGGCCCUGGAAGCCUCAGGGGAGCCUGGGGGAUGCCAGGGCCCGCACUGCGCCUCCUCCUUCUGGUCCUGAAUUUGGCCGCGGCAGCGCCGACUUCGAAACUUCAUCGGGAGGAGCCCAAGCCUGAGUCAGUGGCCGCAUCAGGUCAGCUAAAAAAGGAUCAAAUCAAAUCAGUGAUGACCAAGAAAACUUCUUCUGGACAGCUUCUGCUUGAGUCCUCCGAACAGACAAGCUUUCAGAAAGAUCAUCUAACCUAUAAAUGCCUUUGGAAGAAAGAAGAGUUUGUGGUUCUUAAAAAUGGAAGGGAACUCGAAUUUGAAAUGAGGACAAGUACCUACAAGAACAAAAAACUCCUUUUUCAAAAUAUCAUCUUAAAAAUGCCUCUUUCUCAAGGAAAACAAGCAAACAAUGGAGUCAGAAAAGCAGUCCUGGCUCAAAGAUGUUUGGGAAGUAAAAAAGUAAGCUCAGCUUUAACAAAAACAAGGGUGUUAGCUUUGGCAAGAAAAGGAAAAAGUAUAAAGAAACAAAACAAUCCAAAAACUGAACUACAAAAGCAAUUGGAAAAUGCUCAAAAUCAGAAAAUAGGGGUGUCAACAGAAAUCCCCCUCCAGUUUGCCACAGCAGACUUUGACUUGUUGGCCAGAAGAUGGUGGUGGCCAAAAGGAGCAUUUUUAAAAGCAUCCCCAAAUCUUUUCACAUCAAGAAACAAUCAGGAGAACCAAGGAAAUAGAGAGAAUAAUCCCAAGCCACUAAAGACAUAUGCCCUCCACCCUUUAGAAGCAACAAAAGCGGUACAACAGAGUAUCAGAACGUGGAAACUGUAUAAGCUGAAUGUUGUCUCUAAAGAGCCUUGUAAAUCAGUGAAUUCAAAAAGAGCCCUAGGAGUAGAUGAAGAAGAGCCAAAGAAAGAUGAGAUUAUGCUGACAAUCCUUUGUAGAAAGCUAUUGUCUUUAAACAUUUCAGCAAAUGGUAGCAGUACUUGGAAGGUACAAUCAAGAAAAAUAUUUUUUGGACAUUAUGCAAAAAUAGGUAGAAAGGGUCUUCUGAUCUUGCUAACUUCCAUGAAAACAAGAUCAAUGGUAAUCCGAAAGACCCAAAGAGUUGGAAACAGAGUCAUUUUGUCUGUCACAAAAUGUGUUCACAUUAGUAAUGGCAGGUCUAGAGAACCUUGCAGGAAACAGAAUAGCACAGAUUUAGGAGAUAUCAGUCAAAUUCUUUCAAGAAAUGGAGGUCAAGAAGCUAAGUCAUCAACUUCAGAAAUUAUUCAAGAAAAACUAAAAUUCUUAUCGGCUUUUAAAGCAACAUCAAAAGACAAAGAAUGCAGGAUAAAAAUUUGGUCUGUCUAUGUAAGGCUACCUUUAAAACUUCAUGAACAAAAUGCAAAUACAUUUCAAAGAAAAACUGACAGGCUGGUGUACCAAGAUGGAAGUCAGGGAGACCCAAGAAUUCUUAAUAGAAAACCAGACGUGGUCCCAAGAGCCCCUUACUUGGAUAAUGAGGGGAAGACAUCUCAAUGGAUAAGGUUGGAAGAAAGUAGAGGAAAAAAUUCAUGGAACAGGGCACAACUUCCCUUCAUCGGCUUGCUCUGUAGUCAGCUUUACACUUUUAUUAUCAGAUCACACUCUAAUAUUAUAGUUAUGUCACAAAGGAAAUUGACUGCAUUUAUCAAGACAUUGAUGGCACAACUGCCUGGGAAAAGCCAACCAGCUUUUGCCAAGCUGACUGGAAUGUUGACAGUUCUUAAAGUUACUCUGUCUCCUAAAUCUUCUUUUCAUUUGGAAUCACAAGAGGCCAACUCUAUGUUCCCCAAUGUUCUCUCAGAGGAUUUAAGAUUAAGAAGCAAAAAAUCCAUUGAACCUGAUAAACAUAAUGUGACUGUGACCAACCAUUACCGGAAACUCCUUCAUGACAGUGACCAUUUGCCAUCUGACUUACUGUAUUUCCCUGGAUUUGCUCCUUCAAGAGAGCUAAAUAAGAGACAGAAACGUGAAGCUAAAGGGGGGGCUGAGAUGGUCGCAGUUCCUGUAGGCUUUUUGAACCGUCUUGCAUCCCUUCUUGGAUUUGGGGUCGGUAUUGUUACAGUGGCCUUCAUUUUUCUGUCAGUAGUGCUCUGCAUCCUAUUUUACAAAUGGAGGGAAACAUUUAAGAUUUGCAGAGAUUCACAAAUUGAAACAAAAAGUCACAAGUCAUCCAUCACAUUGGAGCCAAAUGUCCAUGGUAUUUCUCUGUCUCGAUGUUUUCAUACUAGUGGAAUACAGUUCUCAGGUGAUAAAGAAUUCAAACUCCAACCAGUUCUUCAGGAUCGUGGGGAAUUGAGCUUUGUGGUGACAUCCAUAACUUCAGAGACCAGCUCCAGUUGUGAGAACACGGAUAUAAGCCCGACUUCCUUAUCAUCAUCAGACUCUUUUGCUAGCAAAAGCAUAGAAGCUUCUGGGGAAUGGUUUUCUGAUGAAGAAGGCUUCCUUUACUCCUCCUCCUUAAAAGGCCUUAUGGACAGAGUGAAGGUAUACCUUGAGACCAUAGGUGAUGACCAAAACCCUGAAAAAUUCCAGUGUGAUGUGAUAAUCAGUGAGAAUCAAAAUCAACUCCACUUGGAUAAAAAAGAUCAAAAGGAAAUGCAGAUGCCUAACCUAGUCCCUAACCUCUUCGAAGCUUCUUUGAAUAUCCCACAUCCACCAGAAUCAGCACCUCAAAACUCAAAAGUUUCUUUUGAUUUCCAAGGUCCACCAAAAACAUGGGAUGGCCCCUCUCAACUUUCUUCUGGUUUCUCUUGCCAAUCAAAAUCAUGCUUUAAUGCUAAAAAAGCUUCUUCUGGCCUCUCCUAUCCACCAGAAUCAAGAGCUAAUGCCUCAGAAGCUUCCUCUGACCACUUGCAUCUACCAUAAUCACGCAAAACAUAAAUGGAUAUUCCCAUUUCUAAGACUAAGUAGGUCUAGACCAAUUAAGAGCUCCUUGUCGUCUGCGGCUCAAAAUGAACCCUCUGAAAAGAAUUAAACAGAGCCUCCUUACCCUGGCCUAUAAGUCUAAGACAAGAUCAUACAACCUAGAACCAUGCCUCCAAUGUACAGGAUAAGCAUACCAGCACAGAUUUAGCUUAUUUGUGAAUAAACUAUAUUUAACUACCA
ensembl:lncRNA